rnacentral:rRNA from 1 species
UAGUAGCUGGUUCCCUCCGAAGUUUCCCUCAGGAUAGCUGGCACUCGUUUAAAUCGAGUCUCAUCUGGUAAAGCGAAUGAUUAGAGGCCUCUUGGGGCCGAAACGACCUCAACCUAUUCUCAAACUUUAAAUGGGUGAGAUCUCUGGCUUGCUUGAAACUUGAAGCCACGAGAUUUUUCAUUGUAAAAAAUGGAUCAGAGUGCCNAGUGGGCCAAUUUUGGUAGNNNAAACUGGCG